CAUGGCAGAAAAAGAAGAAGGGGAUGCCCAAGAGUUGGGCGCCCCUUGUCUUGCCUUGUUUCAAUAAUCCUUGACUGGGUAUUUGACCUAGACAAGGAAUCUUCAUAUCUCUCUAUUUAAAAUAAAUUUUUUUAUCAAGCUUUUGUAAAAUAUAGACCAUUGAGAGACCUUUGGGGUGUCCAAAAAUUAAGGAGAAAGAGUCUUAGGGCAUGG
rnacentral:lncRNA from 1 species